UACGAAGGGGGCUAGCGUUGUUCGGAAUUACUGGGCGUAAAGGGCGCGUAGGCGGUGUGUCAAGUCAGGCGUGAAAGCCCCUGGCUCAACCUGGGAACCGCGCUUGAGACUGGCACGCUCGAGUUCGGGAGAGGAUGGUGGAAUUCCCAGUGUAGAGGUGAAAUUCGUAGAUAUUGGGAAGAACACCGAUGGCGAAGGCAGCCAUCUGGACCGACACUGACGCUGAGGCGCGAAAGCGUGGGGAGCAAACAGG
rnacentral:rRNA from 1 species